CUGGAAUGUAUUCCUGAAACGGUCAAUAUGUUCUCUCUGCAGUUUUUUCUGGUCUUGUUUUCCUUUAGUAAUUUUGGCUGGAAUUGUAGGAUUUCAUAGUACUCCUCAUCUGAUAUAUUUUACAGAGAUUUAAUAAUAGAGGAAUCCAAGUUGGGGAAGAUGAGCUGAAGAGAUGUCAAGACAGUUCUUAGCCUGUAUUAAAGGAUCAGCAAAGAUUCUGACGCGAUACUACGAAGGACUAGAAGCCUUGGACUCUGGAGUUUAAAUCGCGGGAAAUGAGGCUCCCUCCAGUCUGUCUGUCGUAAUACCUGAAGUGCCACCUCAGAUCUCAGUGAUACUCUGUAAACAUGAUCGGCAAGAAGGGGUGUCCGUCGGCAAACAACCAAAAUGCAUAUCCUCUCCUGCUUGACUAAUACAGUAAGGAAGAACUUCCAAAGAAAGGAGUUUAGCAAUGGACUGGAUUUCCCACACAGAACAGAAUCAUCAUUGAAUGGUCUCAGAGGUGCCGAAGAGUAUUGCUCCUGAAAUCUCCUCCAUCCAUGGCUGAAAUUUAAAGGCUUGGGGUGAUUGAGAGAACAACCUGCGCACAUCAUUCCAGUCUUCCCAGCUCACAGCAUUUGGCUGCUCCAUGACGUUGAUUGCCCACAAGUUCCCAGGACAUUUGUAAGCUGGUGGAUUAUAAGUCACUUAUCAUUGCAAAGAAAUGUGAGUCUGUAUUUGGGGCUGAAUGGAAUAUACUAAAUAAGACUGGUGGCACUUAAAUGCCUCUCAUUACUCACUUUUUGUUAAAGUUGAUCUUUUUCUGCUAUGGAUUUUUCUGAGAGGAUUAGUGAAUACUUGGAUAAAAGGAGAUUUUUGAUGACUCUAAAUGUCUUCCCUAUCAACUCCUCUAGUCCUCAAAGGGUUUGUGAUUUAGGAAGUGACAGUGAGAAAUGAAAGGCUAUCAUGCCUGUGUAAUGCGCACGCUCUUGGGCCUGAAGUGGCUGGCAGGGCUCCUUAUUAACGUUGCCUAGGGCAUGUUUAGUGCUUAGGAAGGUCAGGAUGCUGCACCAAAUAGGAAUCUAAUUUAGAUUCAGAUUUCAAACAAACAAGACUCUCUCCACCAAAAUCCUACACAAGAUCACAGAAUCAGGACAGAGAAGCCAGAGCACAAAAUGUGUGUCCCCGACUGUCUACAGCCCUUAACGGUCAAGGGAGGCAGAGCAGCACUCUUACUCUGCUGUCUGGGGAUUCACAAGGAGAGGUUACGCGGUCUGAUUAGCAGCAAGUGCUUUACAUAGAAAGAUCAUUGGUAGGUCAGACCACACGAGAGUGUCUAAUACACCACAGUACAAGUGUCUAAUGCAUCAUGGGCCUUAAAAAUUUAACCUCUCCCUCCCCAAAAAUACCCAUAAGCAAUCAAUGAGAUUUGUUUUCGUUUUGUUUUACAAUACUUAGUUUAAAAUUAAUCUGGAUAUUUAUCUCAAUUCACCAGUUCUUCAACUGAAUUACUUAAAUCAUGUAAGACUAUUUUGGACAGAAACAAAGAUUUGAACUAUUUUCCUCCCAUACUAUUAUAGUUUAUUUUUUACUGUUUACUGGAUCAUUAAUGGAAAUAAAGUAAUCUUUUCUCUCUUUUUCUGUAUUUACUAUGCUAUCUUGAAAUGAGAAAGAGAAAGAGAGAGAGAGGGAAGAGAGAGAGAUUAUAUUCCAUUCCUUUUUCUCUGCUCAUCUUUCUGGACAAUUAUUCAUUCUUCAAUAAUGCGUGUCAGUUGAAUUUGCACAUGUUCAUAUAAUUUAUAAACUGCCAGAACACAGUUUUGUGCAACUACCAAAUUAAAAUAUUAUGCCCAUUAAAAUGUAGCAUUCCUUAUUUAGAUUAUGCACUAUUUCUUAAGGAAUGAGAAUGACUCAAAAGAGUUUAUGGUUAUUUACUGAGGCCUACUUCUAUUGUAAAACACAUCAGGCCAUAACUUCCAUGAUAGGUGUUACAUGCUGAGGGUUAUUCUCUUAAAAGGAAAAUAAAAGUUAAAUUUCUUAAUUGUAAAGUUUAAUAUUUAAGUUGUAGUUAUCAGAAGCUAUAUUUAAAUUCAUGAAUUACUGCCCACUCCUCAAAAG
rnacentral:lncRNA from 1 species